UUGUUGAUUUUGAAACCAGUUGAUAAUUUGCAAGUGAUAUGGAUGCUGAAAUUUUUAUUUCACUUCUUCAACAACUACCAGUGUUGUGGAACUAAUUCUGUGAUGCAAGUUUCUUCUCAAAGAGAAGCAAUGGUCACAGGUGCACGAUGUCAUCAUUUAGCAUAUUGCCACGGACUGUGUUAUUAACGGCAACAUCCCUUAUCUGAAAUAAUUAUUGAACGAGUUCGGGGAUGUCAAACAAAUCUUCAAUCGGUUCAUGGAGGGGCGGAUUUCGAGCGGCUUUAUCGAGCUGAAUGAGAAGUUUGACCUGACCAGCGACGCGAUCGACGACGAGACCAAGGCACUCCAGCCAAAACUGUCAGAUAUGUGCUCUGUGGUCUAAAUGUUCCAAUGCCCGACGCCAAAGCAUCGGUUCUGUCAGAACGAAAUUCCAGCUUAUCUGAUUCGGUCAUUCUUUGCCCCGGAUCCGCGUAUUGAUAGCUGUGAUGCGAAUUGGGCUCGAGAAGCUGCCCCUGCCCCAGGAUUACGUGCUCGAGGAAUUGCGGCAUAUGUUGAGCUCGUUCUUCGACGAGGAUCAGCGGAAGCAGCAAUGGAAUAGUGUUUGAACGAAUUAUGUUAUUUUAUUCGUAAUUUGUUUACUGUAUUAAUGAAAUAAGAAAAAAACUCUAGAAUGAAUGGAUGUGUAUACAUUCUCUUGUAGGUAAAUUCCAAAAUAAUCACAGGAAGUGAACACAUUAUACAUAUAAAUAAAUAGUGUCUCUGGCUUGUAACGGAAUGUUAUUAUUAUUGGUUCAUCAAAUUGCACUUUUAUCUAACCGUGUUUCUGAGACUGUUGAAAAAUUAUGUGGCAACAGAGCGUGUGAAAUAAAUCAUACUAUUCGUGUAUGCUUGGAAACGAAAUAAUUAUGCGUAUGAAUGAAUAAACCGCAGCUGGACUAAAGUUAGUUUUUUAAACGUAUUCUGAAGUGGGGCGGAAGUAUUCACGAUAGGUACGGUAAGAACGCCGUUAUGAUGCAGGAUGUGUGUAAUGUCCGUGAGGCCUGGUCUCACUUUGAUCAUGCUCAUGGUGUGCUACACUCCAACAUUCGGCCUUAUGUGAUUUCCAAGGAACAUACAUAU